rnacentral:tRNA from 1 species
GCUGGUUUAGCUCAGUUGGUAGAGCAUCCCUCUCGUAAAGGGAAGGUCGUGAGUUCGAAUCUCACAACCAGCU